UGAGGAACAUGACCUUCGGCGGGGGAUAGCCGGCCCAACGGCCGGGUAAUACCGCGUACGACCACAUGGGGACAUCCCUGAGUGGUGAAAGCAGCAAUGCGCCGAUGGAGUGCCUCGCGGCCUAUCAGCUAGUUGGUGAGAUAACGGCUCACCAAGGCGACGACGGGUANCUGGUCUGAGAGGAUGGCCAGCCACAUUGGGACUGCGACACGGCCCAGACUCCCGUACGGGG
rnacentral:rRNA from 1 species